UGGAGGGGUACCAAAGUGGCCAACUGGGGCGGACUGUAAAUCCGUUGCGCAAGCUUCGUAGGUUCGAAUCUUGUGCUCGAACCA
rnacentral:tRNA from 1 species